rnacentral:rRNA from 1 species
AGUGAACGCUGGCGGUAGGCCUAACACAUGCAAGUCGAACGGCAGCACAGUAAGAGCUUGCUCUUACGGGUGGCGAGUGGCGGACGGGUGAGGAAUACAUCGGAAUCUACUUUUUCGUGGGGGAUAACGUAGGGAAACUUACGCUAAUACCGCAUACGACCUACGGGUGAAAGCAGGGGAUCUUCGGACCUUUCGCGAUUGAAUGAGCCGAUGUCGGAUUAGCUAGUUGGCGGGGUAAAGGCCCACCAAGGCGACGAUCCGUAGCUGGUCUGAGAGGAUGAUCAGCCAGACUGGAACUGAGACACGGUCCAGACUCCUACGGGAGGCAGCAGUGGGGAAUAUUGGACAAUGGGCGCAAGCCUGAUCCAGCCAUACCGCGUGGGUGAAGAAGGCCUUCGGGUGGUAAAGCCCUUUUGUUGGGAAAGAAAAGCAGCAGGUUAAUACCCCGCUGUUCUGACGGUACCCAAAGAAUAAGCACCGGCUAACUUCGUG